rnacentral:piRNA from 1 species
UUUCNGACGUGCUGAACAGACCAAAGCUUCC